GGUUAAGUUAGAAAGGGCGCACGGUGGAUGCCUUGACACUAGGAGUCGAUGAAGGACGGGACUAACGCCGAUAUGCUUCGGGGAGCUGUAAGUAAGCUUUGAUCCGAAGAUUUCCGAAUGGGGAAACCCACCAUACGUAAUGGUAUGGUAUCCUUAUCUGAAUACAUAGGGUAAGGAAGACAGACCCAGGGAACUGAAACAUCUAAGUACCUGGAGGAAGAGAAAGCAAAUGCGAUUUCCUGAGUAGCGGCGAGCGAAACGGAACAUAGCCCAAACCAAGAGGCUUGCCUCUUGGGGUUGUAGGACAUUCUAUACGGAGUUACAAAGGAACGAGGUAGACGAAGCGACCUGGAAAGGUCCGUCGUAGAGGGUAACAACCCCGUAGUCGAAACUUCGUUCUCUCUUGAAUGUAUCCUGAGUACGGCGGAACACGUGAAAUUCCGUCGGAAUCUGGGAGGACCAUCUCCCAAGGCUAAAUACUCCCUAGUGAUCGAUAGUGAACCAGUACCGUGAGGGAAAGGUGAAAAGCACCCCGGAAGGGGAGUGAAAGAGAUCCUGAAACCGUGUGCCUACAAAUAGUCAGAGCCCGUUAACGGGUGAUGGCGUGCCUUUUGUAGAAUGAACCGGCGAGUUACGAUCCCGUGCGAGGUUAAGCUGAAGAGGCGGAGCCGCAGCGAAAGCGAGUCUGAAUAGGGCGUUUAGUACGUGGUCGUAGACCCGAAACCAGGUGAUCUACCCAUGUCCAGGGUGAAGUUCAGGUAACACUGAAUGGAGGCCCGAACCCACGCACGUUGAAAAGUGCGGGGAUGAGGUGUGGGUAGCGGAGAAAUUCCAAUCGAACCUGGAGAUAGCUGGUUCUCCCCGAAAUAGCUUUAGGGCUAGCCUUAAGUGUAAGAGUCUUGGAGGUAGAGCACUGAUUGGACUAGGGGUCCUCAUCGGAUUACCGAAUUCAGUCAAACUCCGAAUGCCAAUGACUUAUCCUUAGGAGUCAGACUGCGAGUGAUAAGAUCCGUAGUCAAAAGGAAACAGCCCAGACCGCCAGCUAAGGUCCCAAAGUGUGUAUUAAGUGGAAAAGGAUGUGGAGUUGCUUAGACAACUAGGAUGUUGGCUUAGAAGCAGCCACCAUUUAAAGAGUGCGUAAUAGCUCACUAGUCGAGUGACUCUGCGCCGAAAAUGUACCGGGGCUAAAUACACCACCGAAGCUGCGGAUUGAUACCAAUGGUAUCAGUGGUAGGGGAGCGUUCUAAGGACAGUGAAGUCAGACCGGAAGGACUGGUGGAGUGCUUAGAAGUGAGAAUGCCGGUAUGAGUAGCGAAAGACGGGUGAGAAUCCCGUCCACCGAAUGCCUAAGGUUUCCUGAGGAAGGCUCGUCCGCUCAGGGUUAGUCAGGACCUAAGCCGAGGCCGACAGGCGUAGGCGAUGGACAACAGGUUGAUAUUCCUGUACCACCUCUUUAUCGUUUGAGCAAUGGAGGGACGCAGAAGGAUAGAAGAAGCGUGCGAUUGGUUGUGCACGUCCAAGCAGUUAGGCUGAUAAGUAGGCAAAUCCGCUUAUCGUGAAGGCUGAGCUGUGAUGGGAAGCUCCUUAUGGAGCGAAGUCUUUGAUUCCCCGCUGCCAAGAAAAGCUUCUAGCGAGAUAAAAGGUGCCUGUACCGCAAACCGACACAGGUAGGCGAGGAGAGAAUCCUAAGGUGUGCGAGAGAACUCUGGUUAAGGAACUCGGCAAAAUGACCCCGUAACUUCGGGAGAAGGGGUGCUUUCUUAACGGAAAGCCGCAGUGAAUAGGCCCAAGCGACUGUUUAGCAAAAACACAGCUCUCUGCGAAGCCGUAAGGCGAAGUAUAGGGGGUGACACCUGCCCGGUGCUGGAAGGUUAAGGAGAGGGGUUAGCGUAAGCGAAGCUCUGAACUGAAGCCCCAGUAAACGGCGGCCGUAACUAUAACGGUCCUAAGGUAGCGAAAUUCCUUGUCGGGUAAGUUCCGACCCGCACGAAAGGUGUAACGAUUUGGGCACUGUCUCAACCAGAGACUCGGUGAAAUUAUAGUACCUGUGAAGAUGCAGGUUACCCGCGACAGGACGGAAAGACCCCGUGGAGCUUUACUGUAGCCUGAUAUUGAAUUUUGGUACAGUUUGUACAGGAUAGGCGGGAGCCUUUGAAACCGGAGCGCUAGCUUCGGUGGAGGCGCUGGUGGGAUACCGCCCUGACUGUAUUGAAAUUCUAACCUACGGGUCUUAUCGACCCGGGAGACAGUGUCAGGUGGGCAGUUUGACUGGGGCGGUCGCCUCCUAAAGUGUAACGGAGGCGCCCAAAGGUUCCCUCAGAAUGGUUGGAAAUCAUUCGUAGAGUGCAAAGGCAUAAGGGAGCUUGACUGCGAGACCUACAAGUCGAGCAGGGACGAAAGUCGGGCUUAGUGAUCCGGUGGUUCCGCAUGGAAGGGCCAUCGCUCAACGGAUAAAAGCUACCCCGGGGAUAACAGGCUUAUCUCCCCAAGAGUCCACAUCGACGGGGAGGUUUGGCACCUCGAUGUCGGCUCAUCGCAUCCUGGGGCUGUAGUCGGUCCCAAGGGUUGGGCUGUUCGCCCAUUAAAGCGGUACGCGAGCUGGGUUCAGAACGUCGUGAGACAGUUCGGUCCCUAUCCGUCGUGGGCGUAGGAAAUUUGAGAGGAGCUGUCCUUAGUACGAGAGGACCGGGAUGGACGCACCGCUGGUGUACCAGUUGUUCUGCCAAGGGCAUAGCUGGGUAGCUAUGUGCGGAAGGGAUAAGUGCUGAAAGCAUCUAAGCAUGAAGCCCCCCUCAAGAUGAGAUUUCCCAUAGCGUAAGCUAGUAAGAUCCCUGAAAGAUGAUCAGGUUGAUAGGUUCGAGGUGGAAGCAUGGUGACAUGUGGAGCUGACGAAUACUAAUAGAUCGAGGACUUAACCAU
rnacentral:rRNA from 1 species